AGCAGGUCAUUGUUUCAAUCCCCAGGAUGAUAACCAUCAGUCUGUCUGCUCCUGUCUGGAUGGAGGGACUUUGACGUCUUUCAACAAACACACAGGGACACUUGCUAUGUGCCGCACUGCGGAUCAAAGGAUGGCAGAGUGGAAGGGUCUUCGUCCUCAAGGCUGAUGUGCCAGCGUGGAGACAAUGACAUUGGAGAUGAACAAACCGGCAAUGAAGAUCGCUACAGAGAGUUGUAUGUACUUUGGAGAAAAUAAAAUAGAAAAGCGGCACAGAGGACUGCUGUCUCUGUGGUGGCAGGAGAGUCUUCAGGUGGGCAGAGAGGGCCCCUUGGAAGAGGUGACCUCUGAGCUGAAAAUGGAAUAGGGAAGAAGAGUUGAUCACACAAGAGCUGGGAAGAGUGUCGGUGGCAGAAGGAACAGCAAGUGCAAAAUCCCAGGAGGGGACCGAGUGUGCGGAACGGAGAGGAGGGCGCCGUGGUGCCCAGAGAUGUGCCAGGUGAGACCAGGCCAUGUGCUCCCACCGUGAUGUGCUGCCUCAUCAUAGGGCCAAAGCAAUGGGGCUGGUAUGGCAACCACAGACAAUUGCAUGGCCAAAGCAAAGACAGAGCUACAUACUGGGAGAACAACAGUGUUCUGGGAACCCUUGGCUGAUCAGGACCCUGGAGAGCUCCACGUGACUCCGUGAUGAUUGGUUCCAGGAUGCUGACCUCAGGCUCUCAUAGGCCCACUCUGGACAGGGUCCUCUCACUCCAACCUGGAAGCCUUUCAAGGGCUGGCAUCUUCUGGCCUUUACUUAGAGGACACCACCUGGUACCUGGGGGCCUUUAGGGAAAAGAGGGAUGGUGAAGAUCCUCUGGUUGUGCAUGAAGCAAGGUGUUUGAUAAUUAGAUAUAUUUCUUAUGUACCCCAGGAGUUGGGCAUUUGAAGACUUUUUGUUUAAUGAUAUCUAGUGGGCAUUGGUAUGACCUAAGGUUUUAAUUAGUAACGUGUGCCUUAGUGGAGAGCCCCAAUGGGAUAAUACAUGUUUGCAGCUGCAUACCACCUGUCAGUUCAUAAAAUGCUUCUUUGUGGCAUUAUCACUUCCAUUUUCACAACAGCUUGUAAGUCAUAUAUUACCCCACGGUGCAAGAUAAGGAAAUAGGAUCAAAACAGUAGAUGACUUUCCCAAGGUCACAUAGUUAGGAUGUCAAGGAACUGAAGCUUAAACCAUGGGAUCAUUACCCUAAGUUGUCAAGACUCAUUUAAAGAGACCCUGUUGGCUUCCAUUAAGGAUAUGGUGCUCAUUAAAAUUGUUUACUGAUGCUUGAGAAUUUUGUUUUGAGAGCAAAAGAGUAAACACGACCAUAUUCUAUUGCCUCUCCUGCAUUCCAACAUCAAUAGUCAUCAGAAAUGCAGCCUGCUUAAUAGAAUAAAAUAAUACUUUUUCCUCGUGGCUUGCAAAACUCAUCCUGAAUUGGCCCCCACUCCACUCUCUGACCUUAUCUCCUAUUGCUGUCCCCUUCAGGCACCAAACUCCAGCCACAGAACUCUCCUGGCUGCUCCUGGAAGUCACCAAGCUCACUUACAACCUGACACUGUUGCACCAACUGUUCCUUCUGCCAGGGAUUCUCUCCUCUCAGAUCUUUGCACAGCUGGCUGCUAGUCACUCUCAUCUCGAAAUCUCCUCUUCAAGAGGCCCUCCCUCAGUUAAGUAGCCUCUGUUACCCACCUCACAUCACCUUUAUCCACACCCUCCCUGGUACCCACUGGUAUCUGAAAUGACCAGUUCAAUCUAUGACUACAUCUUCCUUCUCUUCUGUUUAGAACCUACACUUCAGGAGGGCAGGGACUUUGUGGGUCUGAACAUCAAUAGGUCUCCAGCACCAUGCAUAAUAUAGACACCUGAUGUCUACGGAAGGAAUAAACAUCAUUGUGUCUUAAGCAGGGACUGCAUUCUUAGAUUUAGGUGGUGGAGGUCUCCAAUGUGUCUUUGAUUAUUUUGAGGAAGAUACCAAGGCUUUGAAAAUAAA